rnacentral:rRNA from 1 species
GACGAACGCUGGCGGCGUGCCUAAUACAUGCAAGUCGAGCGGACUUUCAAGAAGCUUGCUUUUUGAAAGUUAGCGGCGGACGGGUGAGUAACACGUGGGCAACCUGCCUGCAAGACGGGGAUAACUCCGGGAAACCGGGGCUAAUACCGGAUAAUAUCUUCCUUCGCAUGAAGGAAGGUUGAAAGGCGGCGCAAGCUGCCGCUUGCAGAUGGGCCCGCGGCGCAUUAGCUAGUUGGUGAGGUAACGGCUCACCAAGGCGACGAUGCGUAGCCGACCUGAGAUGGUGAUCGGCCACACUGGGACUGAGACACGGCCCAGACUCCUACGGGAGGCAGCAGUAGGGAAUCUUCCGCAAUGGGCGAAAGUCUGACGGAGCAACGCCGCGUGAGCGAAGAAGGUCUUCGGAUCGGAAAGCUCUGUUGUCAGGGAAGAACAAGUACCGUUCGAACAGGGCGGUACCUUGACGGUACCUGACCAGAAAGCCACGGCUAACUACGUG